AGUGAACGCUGGCGGUAGGCCUAACACAUGCAAGUCGAACGGCAGCACAGUAAGAGCUUGCUCUUACGGGUGGCGAGUGGCGGACGGGUGAGGAAUACAUCGGAAUCUACCUUUUCGUGGGGGAUAACGUAGGAAAACUUACGCUAAUACCGCAUACGACCUACGGGUGAAAGCAGGGGAUCUUCGGACCUUGCGCGAUUGAAUGAGCCGAUGUCGGAUUAGCUAGUUGGCGGGGUAAAGGCCCACCAAGGCGACGAUCCGUAGCUGGUCUGAGAGGAUGAUCAGCCACACUGGAACUGAGACACGGUCCAGACUCCUACGGGAGGCAGCAGUGGGGAAUAUUGGACAAUGGGCGCAAGCCUGAUCCAGCCAUACCGCGUGGGUGAAGAAGGCCUUCGGGUUGUAAAGCCCUUUUGUUGGGAAAGAAAAGCAGCAGGUUAAUACCCCGCUGUUCUGACGGUACCCAAAGAAUAAGCACCGGCUAACUUCGUG
rnacentral:rRNA from 1 species